AGUGAACGCUGGCGGUAGGCCUAACACAUGCAAGUCGAACGGCAGCACAGUAAGAGCUUGCUCUUACGGGUGGCGAGUGGCGGACGGGUGAGGAAUACAUCGGAAUCUACUUUUUCGUGGGGGGUAACGUAGGGAAACUUACGCUAAUACCGCAUACGACCUACGGGUGAAAGCAGGGGAUCUUCGGACCUUGCGCGAUUGAAUGAGCCGAUGUCGGAUUAGCUAGUUGGCGGGGUAAAGGCCCACCAAGGCGACGAUCCGUAGCUGGUCUGAGAGGAUGAUCAGCCACACUGGAACUGAGACACGGUCCAGACUCCUAUGGGAGGCAGCAGUGGGGAAUAUUGGACAAUGGGCGCAAGCCUGAUCCAGCCAUACCGCGUGGGUGAAGAAGGCCUUCGGGUUGUAAAGCCCUUUUGUUGGGAAAGAAAAGCAGCAGGUUAAUACCCCGCUGUUCUGACGGUACCCAAAGAAUAAGCACCGGCUAACUUCGUG
rnacentral:rRNA from 1 species